UUUUCUUAACUGCUGCAGCCAGACCCUCCUGCCCCACCGCUCCGCCUCAGCUCUGCCCCCUGGUGGGGAAACACGGAGACCCGAGGAGAGGCCGCGGGGCCGUCCUGCACCACUGCACCCCCGGCAGGGGCAUCCAAGUGUCUCUGUGUCAUGAAUCUUUAAAAAAAAUCCACUUAAAGAAGGAAGAGGAGGAGGAGCAGAGAGUGGAACUGAUUUCAGGAGGCGGUUUACAGUGUCUUCAUUUCAAGGAAGAGGGACAGACUGCAGGUAGCUACAGGAGGCAAGAGAAGAAGGGGUCCUUUAGAUGGCGCCCUGGCGGCCAGUGGGGUGACAACGUGGUGACGUCACCCCCAGGGUGACGUCGAGACCAGGAACCGCCCGCCGUCAGGUGGUGUGUGGCAGCAGCGCUUGUGGCAAGAGCCCGGGGAACCUCGGGAGAGCCUGGGCCCUCAAAGGCAGCGCCUGCCGGGAUUUCUUGGGCAGGACGUCAUGUUGGGGACAGGGCUUGCUGUCCUGAGGUCAGGAAAAGGGGAUGACCUUUCUUAAACUCCAGCGGGAACCUGCGCUGGCUGGAAGGGUCAGAAGACGUCUCGCUAGGCCUCUGCAAGUGGAAUACACAGACACAUGCUAAGACUCAUUUCUGCUCUGAGGAUGACAGGGAGGUGCCUUUGUUCCUUUCUUUCACUUUAUUUAAUAAAGAAUGAGCUGACCACGCUUCAUA